GGCACCUGCCGUUUUCGCCUGCUAGUUGUGUGGUAAGAUAUUGGUUUGCUCUUCUUCGUCGUAGGUUUUGUUUAGGUUCUAGGGCUAGGUUUUCUCCAAAUUAGAUUCGUUUGCUGUGGAUUUUUGCCUCAGUUGAAGGUUAGGAUCUUCAAUUGAUGAUCAUCGCUGGCUCGAUCGUUGCUUCUAUGGUUUGAUGAUUUGGUUAAUUUGAAGCUUAUUAUCGCUAAUUUUUUUAUGGUGAUUUUCGAGAUUUAAUCAUGAUUGUGUUUUUGGCGGUGGAUCUGGUGUUUCGAAGGAUCGAACGGGAUGGGUACCAAUUUUUGCACUAGUUUCGGUUUGUUUAUGUGGUAAUUUCUGGAUCAUUCCAAUUAUCGGACAAAUUUGACAUCAAAUUUCCUUCAAAGUUAGCCCUUUUUGGUUCUUCUUUUUGGUUUUCUUGCUGUGCUUCUUGUAGAAUGAUGGAUUUCGGGCCAUGUGGAGUGGGAAGGACCUAUCUCUUGGAUGGAUGUGAGGGUAAUCUGAAUCUGGAGUUUUUAUUUCAUUCAUAUCUGUAGUUGUUAUUGUUGUAGGCGGUGCUCUUGACUUUCAGUAGUUUUGGUGUGGUGACGAUCGAGGAUUGAUGAGGAAGAUUCAACUUUUACUAUUGUUGGGUUUGUUGAUUAGUAAUUUCUGGAUCGUUCUUUGUUAUCAAGAUUUUCGUGUUUUCUUUUUCUGGUUCUUUUGAUGUUCUCGUUGUGGCGUGGCAGAAUCCUAGUCUUCGGUGGGCUAAAAGAGACUUUCUGGACGCGAAUAUUAUACGGCAUCGGGAGUGUUUUCCCUCGUCCCUUUUUUGGUUUCCCUUUUUAUUUCUUGAAAAAAUUAGUCGGGAGUCUAUCGGUAACGGGCCUUAUGUGUUGUAUUGAUUUAGGGGAGCUUGGAUACAAGAGGGUUUACCCUGCUAUACUGGUUUACCAAAUUCGAGAGAAGUUUUCUCUGUCCUCCUUUUCUGCUGUUUGACGGAGUUUUCUGGCUAUAGAUGCUGAGUUGUUCUGCGAGACAGGUGUUCGUUUUCUGAUUUGCUUCAUUACUUGUGUUGUGCAAUAUAGGAUUUCAGUGAUUCGGAGUUGCGGUGAUAACUGAGCCUUCCUUCCUCAGAUGGACACUGUGUUGAAAUAUCUUUCAACCUCUCCAUUCAAUUUGCCUGCACCUAUUUCGCUGCUCUUCUCUUGAGUCUAGGAUUGUGUUGUGCAAUAUAGGGUUUCAGUGAUUCGGAGUUGUGGUGAUAACUGAGCCAGCCUUCCUCAGAUGGUAAACUGAUUUGGAGGGAGUUAUCUUCUCACCCAUAAUCUUGUGCUUGAGGAAUUUAUGCUUUUGGCAACUUUUUUUUUCUUUUUGGAUCUUACAGGACACACUGUGUUGAAAUAGCUUUCAACCUCUCCAUUCAAUUUGCCUGCACCUAUUUUGCUGCUCUUUCUCGAGUCUAGGAUUGUGUUGUGCAAUAUAGGGUUUCAGUGAUUCGGAGUUGUGGUGAUAACUGAGCCAGCCUUCCUCAGAUGGUAAACUGAUUUGGAGGGAGUUAUCUUCUCACCCAUAAUCUUGUGCUUGAGGAAUUUGUGCUUUUGGCACCUUUUGAUAUCUGCACACUGUUUUCUCGAGUUUUUUUUUUUCUUUUUUAGAACUUCAGGACACACACUGCUGAAAUAGCUUUCAACCUCUCCAUUCAAUUUGCCUGCACCUACUUUGCUGCUCUUUCUAGGAUUAGGUUUUCCCUAAAUGAGAUUCAAUUGUUGUGGUUUUUUGUUUCAGCAGAAGGUUAGGAUCUUCAAUUGAUCAUCUUCACUGGGUUGGACAGUUGCUUCUAUGGUUUGAUGAUUUGAUUAAUUUGAAGCUUAUUAUCGCUAAAUUUUUUUAUGGUGAUUUUUGAGACUUAAUCAUGGUUGUUUCCGGGCGGUGGCUCUGGUAUUUCGAAGGAUUGAACGGGAAGGAUACCAUUUUUUGCAGUAGUUUUGGUUUGUUUGUGGUAAUUUCUGGAUAAUUCCAAUUAUCAGACAAAUUUGACAUCAAGUCUCCUCCAAAAUUAGUGCUUUUCUGGUUUUUUUGAUGUGCUUAUUGUAGAAUGAUGGAUUUCGGGCAUGUACAGUGGGAAGGAACACUCUUGGAUGGAUGUGUACAGUGGGAAGGAACUCUCUCUUGGAUGGAUGUGAGCGUAAUCUGAAUCCUGGAGUUUUUUUUUCAUAUCUGUGGUGUGGUUAUUGUUGUUCUUUUGCUGUUGGCGGUGAUCUGGACUUUGAAUAGUUUUGGUGUGGUGUCGUUCGAAGAUUGAUGAAGAUUUGUGUUUUUACUAUUGUCGGGUUUGUUGAUUUGUAAUUUCCCGAUUGUUCUUUGUUAUCAAGAUCGUCGCCUUUUCUUUUUCUUGUUCUUUUGAUGUCCUCCUCGUGGCUUGGCAGAUUCCUAGUCUUAGGUGGAGCUAAAAAAGAUAUUGCAUUCGAAUAUUAUACGAAAUUGGGAGUUUUUCCCUCCUCCCUUUUUGGUUUCCUUUUUUAUUUCCUGAAAAAAUUAGGCGGGGAGUCAAUUAGUAACUGAUCCUCUCUGUUGUAUUGAUUUAGGGGAGCUUGAAUGCAAGAGGGUCUGGUCGCAUUUUUUAUCCUGCUAUACUGGUUUACAAGAUUCCAGAAGUUCUCUGUCCUUGUUUUCUGCUGUUUGACUAGGGAGUUCUCUGGCUAAAGGUGCUGGUUUGCUCUGUGAGACAGCUGUGUUCGUUUUCUGAUUUCCUGCAUCAAUCUGUGUUGUGCAAUACCGGGUUUCAGUGAUUUGGAGUUGUGAUAACUGAGCCUUUCUUCCUCAGAUGGUAAACUGUUUUGGAGGGAGUUAUUUUCUUACAAACAAUCUUGUACUUGAAGAAUUUAUGCUUUUGGCACCUUUUGAUACCUGUACACAGUUUUGUCGAGUAUUUUUCUUUUUGAGAACUCCAGGAGAAACACCGUUGAAAUAGCUUUCAACCUCUCCAUCCAAUUUGCGCACAUACUUUGCUGCUUCUCCAUCAGAGUUAUCUUUGCCCAUUUGUUGUCUUCAGGGUUUUGAAUUUAUUUUGGUUCCAUAUGGUCCUCAGAUGCUUAGGAUUGUGUCAAUGUGGCAAUAUUGCUGCUGUCAGGUAUUUCUUAGCUUUUAAAUUCUGCCAUCAAACAUGUUUUUCUAGGUAGUUCCCAUAGAAUUUUCUUCUUGAUCCGAACAAGAAUCGAGUUUAUGCUUGUUACAUGAAUAGGUUUGGUGUUAUGGUAGAUUAUCUGAAUUUGUCAAUUCAUUUGUCAGUUCUCAUCUUUGCAUCCAAUUUCAGUUUUGUUGGCUUUUUGUGUCACUUGCAACUUUAAUGAGAGGAAGGUCUCUUGUAUGUUACUCUGUGAAUUAAUUGGACGUAUUUGAACAUAAUCUCUUAUUUGGGCUCAACAUUGGUAUUUCAGUCGUUGCUUUAGGUUGUGUUGCUAUAUGUUGUGGCUCUGGGUUUCAGCAAUUUCUGUGGUGUUGAUUGAGGAUUGAUCUUGAGGUUUUGCGGUUUGUUGAUGUAGUUAUUCUUGAAUGGUUCUGGUUGAUGUUUAAAGGUUGUCUUCUUUUCUGGUUCUUUGAUGUGGUCUGAGAAUGAUGGAGUUCUGCGUAUGGAAGUAAUUCUUGGAUGGAGGGAAGCAAAAAAGAGCUUCUUGGAUGGAUGAAUGUGAUAAAUCGGGAGUUUUUUUCUCUGCCAACCAAUUCUUUCUUUUGCCUACAAAUAGCUGGUAUUCGUUGGUAAUAGCUUAUCUAUUGUCUGCAUUUUAGGGAAGUUUGGAUCGGAGCAUUCUUGUCAUUCGUGUGACCUGCUAUUCCAGUUUACAAGAUUUUGGAGGAGCUUUCUCUUUCCCUACUUGUUUUUCUGCUGUUUCCUUGAAAUUGAUUAGGAAAUUUGUGGAUUUGCUCCUUGUUCUCUAAUUUCCCAUAUUACUAGGGUGCUGCAACUUAGGGUUUCAGUGAAGUGAUUCGUGAUUCUUGGAUGGAUGGAAUCAAAAAAGAGCUCUUCUUGGAUGGAUGAAUGUGAUAAAUCGGGAGUUUUUUUUUUCUGCCAACCAAUUCUUUCUGUUGCAUAAAAAUAGUUGGUAUUCGUUGGUAUUCGUUGGUAAUAGCUUAUCUAUUGUCUUCAUUUUAGGAAAGUUUGGAUUGGAGCAUUCUCAUCAUUUGUGUGACCUGCUAUUCCAGUUUACAAGAUUUUGGAGGAGUUUUCUCUUUCCUUCCCUAAGCAAAAAAGAGCUCUUCUUGGAUGGAUGAAUGUGAUAAAUCGGGAGUUUUUUUUUUCUGCCAACCAAUUCUUUCUGUUGCAUAAAAAUAGUUGGUAUUCGUUGAUAAUAGCUUAUCUAUUGUCUUCAUUUUAGGGAAGUUUGGAUUGGAGCAUUCUCGUCAUUUGUGUGACCUGCUAUUCCAGUUUACAAGAUUUUGGAGGAGUUUUCUCUUUCCCUACUUGUUUUUUUUCUGUUUCCUUGAAAUUGAUUAGGAUAUCUGUGGAUUUGCUCCUCUUCUAUAAUUUCCUAUAUUACUAGGGUGCAGCUUGGGGUUUCAGUGAAGUGAUUCGUGUUUCAAACUUGCCUUCCCAUUCUCAGAUCAAGGGCUAGUUAAAUUUUUUGGAGGGAGUUAUUUUCUCACCUACCCAAAUUGUUCUUUUGUGCUAGAGGAAUUUAGGGGUUUCAAUGCCUUAAUUAUAAUUUAUCUGUGAAUCUUUUUGGCCUGGCGGCAUGUCUUGCAGAGUCAACUUUCCUGAUCCACGAUGAAUAGAAUGGGUUAUAACCAAAUGCAUCUCUGUGCUUAUUCAAGUUUAUUUGUAUGGGUGAGGUUCCUGGUAUUUUGCUCAUUCAGCUUGAUCUGAAGAAGAGUUAAGGCUAUGCAUAUUGGUCUGAUUGCAUGAACACUACUUGAGAUGGAACAUGGGCUUUUUGGAUGCGAUGUUUCUUAGAAUUAUGGGAUGCGGUUCUUCUUGGAAUUAUGGAAUUGAUGUGAUUGUGAUCCUUAAUUUUGAGUUUUGCUUUCUGCUUUAUUUUUGUAUUGCUGUACUCAGUUGCUCUGGUUUUUGAGCAGUUCCCUUAUAGAGUUGAUUGGUAAAAAGACGGUAAAAAGAUUUUGAGGUUAAUGACGGUUUGUUUUGUUCUUGGUGAUUUUUCAAGAUUUGUCUUCUCUUCUCUGGUUCUUUUGAUGUCAUUUUUCAAGAAUAGUGGAUUUCUGGUAUGUGGAGGCUAGAAGAGCUCUCUCUUGGAUGGAUGUGAAUAAAAUCGGGAGAUUUUCUUUUCAACCUGGUCUUUUUUUGUUCUCUCUUGCCUGAAAAAAUCAGGUGGGUGAUGGCUUCUCUCUGUUGUCUUGAUUUUAGGGAAGCUUGUUCCAGGAGUGUCGGUGUGUUUGGUACCCUGUGCUAACUGGUUUUGUAACAAGAUAUUGGAUAAGCACUCUCUUUCCCUACUCUUUUUUUUUUGCUGUUUUCUUUUAAAAAUGAUUUUUCUCUACUUGUUCUUUAAUUUACUAUGUCAUUUUAAUUUAAUUUGUCUGUGUCGAAUCUAGGAUUUCAGUGAUUCAGAGGGGUGGCCAAAACAUAGGUCUCUGUCCUCAGAUCAAAGGCUAGUACAUUAUUUUAGAGGGGUUUAUCUUCAUACCUAUGCUUAUCAUUCUUUUUUGGCUUGAGCAUUUCAAGGGUUUUGGUACUUUUUGAUGUCUGUAGACUAUUAUAAAUAUAAUCUAAAUUCUUUGUAAAUCUCUUCUUCCAUAGUCACCAUGCUUGUAGAAAUGCCUUAUGCAUUAUUUGUUGUCAGUAAUUGCUUGGAAGUCUCUGUUCCUGAUCCUCAAGGAAAAGGUAUCACUGUGUUUUUGUUCUUGUUGAUUUUUCAAGAUUUGUCCUUCUCUGGUUCUUUUGAUGUCGUCUUUCAAGAAAAGUGGAUUUGUGGUGUGUGUAGGCGAGAAGAGCUCUCUCUUGGAUGGAUGGGAAUAAAUCGGGAGAUUUUCUUUUCAACCUGCUAUUUCUAUGUUCUCUUUGCCUGAAAAAAUCACUGGGGGUGGUGGGUGAUGGCUUCUGUCUUUUUUUAUUUUUAGGAGCUUGUUCCCGGAGUGUUGGUGCAUUUGGGACCCUGCUAACCGGUUUUGUAACAAGAUUUUGGAUGAGCUCUCUCUUUCGUUGCCUUUUUUUUUUUUUUUGUCUCCUUUCAAGUCAUAUAGAUGGUAAAGAUGUGGCUCUUCCUAGUCUACAUGGAAUUUGAUUGACGACUUUGAUGUUUGAAUGUGGAAAGAAACUUCUGAUAUGCCAUGGGGUGCGGCCUAGGAUGCAACUCAGUAUGGGUUCAUGGUCAUGGUGAAGUAGCUGCUAGCGUUCAUCAUCUACAGUUGAAUGGAAGAGAAAUUCGGUUAUGCUCAGUAGUUAGCAGAUGCUUGAUGCAUGCAAUAUCUGCUUUCAUAGUCAUGUAAGAACAGGUUUUAGUAUGCAACUUUAAAGUGCAUGUGACUGAAUUCUGUCAUCCUUGGGAAGAAGCUGUUGGACAAUCUUUGCUUAUGGUCCUAACAGAUAUGGUGUGGCAUCAAGAGGUCCAAUCUAAGAUCAGCAAUAGUAUGCGUUGCUGUUUUGGGAGAUGGUUCCAUUUUGGCAGGCCCUGGCACAGGUUUUUAUGUUCAUGGAACCAUUUGUAAAUGAUUGACAAAUUGAGAGGAAUCCAAAUGCCUUGUUUACGAGUAUUGAAAAUCAUCAAUUUGGUUGAAGUGCGUACACAACUUUGAGGUUGAUUUCGUUGGAUUUUUCAAGAAAUGAAAGAGUUCCUGUUUUCCAGGUCAACUUAUCAUUAGUUCUAUAUGGUUUGCCUGUGCAGCUUAAGCCCCUGUGAUUGUAUGACGGUCCCAUGAGUAGGGUCUAUUUGUUGGAUGAUUGCAAUACAUAAUAUUUGAUCUUUAUCAGUC